rnacentral:rRNA from 1 species
AUUGAACGCUGGCGGCAGGCCUAACACAUGCAAGUCGAGCGGACGAAGGGAGCUUGCUCCUGGAUUCAGCGGCGGACGGGUGAGUAAUGCCCAGGAAUCUGCCUGGUAGUGGGGGAUAACGUCCGGAAACGGGCGCUAAUACCGCAUACGCCCUGAUGGUGAAAGUGGGGGAUCUUCGGACCUCACGCUAUCUGAUGAGCCUAGUUCGGAUUAGCUAGUUGGUGGGGUAAAGGCCUACCAAGGCGACGAUCCGUAACUGGUCUGAGAGGAUGAUCAGUCACACUGGAACUGAGACACGGUCCAGACUCCUACGGGAGGCAGCAGUGGGGAAUGUUGGGCAAUGGGCGAAAGCCUGAUCCAGCCAUGCCGCGUGUGUGAAGAAGGUCUUCGGAUUGUAAAGCACUUUAAGUCGGGAGGAAGGGCUGUAAGUUAAUACCUUGCUGUUUUGACGGUACCAACAGAAUAAGCACCGGCUAACUUCGUG